CAGAGAAUAGUUUAAGCAGAAUCCCAGCUUUGGGGGUUGGGGGUAGAAGUUAAAUUCUUCUUUCUUUGA
rnacentral:tRNA from 1 species